rnacentral:tRNA from 1 species
GGAGGGGUCGCAUAGUGGCCGAGUGCACCUGUCUUGAAAACAGGAGAGCCCGCAAGGGUUCCGUGGGUUCGAAUCCCACCCUCCGCCA